AAAAAACAGACCAGCCAUUAUUUCUAUGAAGAUCUGACAGAGGGCAAAUUCACUCUGCCAAUCAUACACGCCGCAAAACAAAAUGGAGGCGAAGCUGUUUUGGAUAUUCUCCGGCAACGAACCACUGAUGAAAGUCUUAAGAAGCAAUGCGUUUUGCUUCUGGAAGAGCUUGGCAGUCUGCAGUAUACGAAAGAUAGAAUAUUACAACUUGAACGCAUGAUUCGGAUUGAGAUAGAAAAUUUCGGCGGUAAUCCAGAAUUAUCUGCAAUACUAGACGAGAUGGCUUCUAAUAUUUAAGGUUUAAGAUUAAUAUAAUUUCCUUUGCAUUGUGUAAAAUCAUAUUAUUUAAAUUUAAUGUGUCGGUUACAUUAACGUAUCAGAAUAAUUAAACGUAUCAAUUUA